rnacentral:rRNA from 1 species
UACAGAGGUCUCAAGCGUUGUUCGGAUUCAUUGGGCGUAAAGGGUGCGUAGGCGGCGCGGUAAGUCGGGUGUGAAAUCUCGGAGCUUAACUUCGAAACUGCAUUCGAUACUGCCGUGCUUGAGGACUGGAGAGGAGACUGGAAUUUACGGUGUAGCAGUGAAAUGCGUAGAUAUCGUAAGGAAGACCAGUGGCGAAGGCGAGUCUCUGGACAGUUACUGACACUGAGGCACGAAGGCCAGGGGAGCAAACGGG